GGGAGGAUGGCCGAGUGGUUAUGGCGUGUGGUACGUGCUUGCCUGCGCCCAGCGAAAAUGUUCCACCCUAACAUUCUUAUCAGGCUCAAGAUACGAUAUCGUAUUUUUCUGAUUUAAACAUCAGUGUGCUUUCUCAUAGGGAAACCUGCAGGGGUUCGAAUCCCCUUCCUCUCA